GGGGGCGGGGGCAGGAUCGGGAUCCGAGAUCGGGAUCCGGAUCCGGAUCCGCUCGGGAAUCUCCGAGCAGCGGGAACGGCCGGAAACAGCUGGGACUGCGGCGGGCCGGGUCCCGCAGCCGUCCGAGCGGCUUGGAUGUGGCGAAAUGUGGAAUCUGUGAGAUAUUCAACGAAUAUUCGUUGUCUGAUUUUUGUCUGCUUUCCAGCCUAAUCAAUGAGAAAGGAGACUGAGCCUGUGAAACAGAGAGCUGCCAGGAAGCUCUAAGUGAUGGCCAGUUAACAAAGCUUGGGAAGAAGGAUGUACCGCUGUGAACAAGUGGAUGCCUCAUAGUGCACACCACGAAUGCAGAAUUUAGGGGCCACAAGGACAUCUGGCAGAACUCCCAAGAUAAGGAGGAAACAAAUGAAGGUAGCUCAGUAAUUGUGCUGAAAUGGGCUCCCACUGGGUAACAAGGAAUUCCGGUAGGGGCAGAUCCCGAGCGACUCACAGAGCACGGACACAAAAACCCACCGGCCACAAAGGAGAGAGACUGAGCACGGGAUUAAUUAGCACCAGAGCUGAGAGAACCACUAACCAGCAGAAGACAGAAUACUGAUUAGUAAAAGAAUCAUGUGACUUGUAACUAAUGAACACUAAUCAUUUUGCUUGCUAAAAUGUAUAAAUAGCUAAAGUUCUGAGAGUUAGGCUAUUUGAUCUGUUGAAUACCAUGGAGCACCAGGUUUGUGCAACCUGAAAUAGAUCAUGUCCCUCUUGAGUAAUUAUUGGCUUGUUGGACAUGAGUAACAAAUCCAGUUUUUGCAGACAGCAUGAUGUCAGAGACUGAAAUAGUUUAUGUGUCAAACAUUGAUAUGAAGUUUUGCUCAUUAUAACAAAAACUGUAUAAAGAAGCUACAACCAAAGAAGCCUCCCUGAAGGUACCUGACUGGGACUUUGGGCUGAAAGUCAAACUGCUGAGGUUAGAGAGAAAACCCAUUCUCCAAUCACCUGAAGCAAAGUCCACAAGGAAAAGAACGUGAGCAAACUCAGGCGCCAUGCUAAGAAUCACCUCUGACUCACCUCGGGGUGGGGGAGGCCGUAGCCCACAGACCCCUCUGCUGGGAGCAGCUCUGCACAGAUUUGACCCCAACCGAGGUGGGGGGAGGAAGUUUGGGUGUGUUGGAGCCUCUGCUCAGGGGCAGGGAACCCAUCCUCCCUUACACAGCCUGGCUGUGGAACCCCCAAAGGGACAUUCCUGUGAGAGUGGGGCGUGCCUUAAUCCAUCAAAGGCCCCCAAAGUGUCCCCGGAGUCAUUCCUGAGGCCUGGCACCACGGGACUGCAGGUGAUGCCACCAACCCAGAGUCUGCUGUAAGGGACAAGGGCAAACUCCCCCCACCUGGGAGGUGCCUGAGCUUUCCCACCUGGCCUGAGCAUGUGUUAACCCAUCAGAUUCUGUGCUUUUUGGGAGGACCUUCACCACAAAGAAGACCAGCUGGAGAGGAUCAAGGGAGUGUCAUUGGGAUCCAUGGAGUGGUGACAUUUUCCUUAUUGUGUCCCUGUUACUCUCUUUCUGUCCCCCCCACCUAUUUUCUAUUUCUUUCUCUCUCCCAUAUUUACUAUCAAAUAAAACCCAUGCUGUUGUCACUGGCAAA